rfam:Hespellia stercorisuis DSM 15480 genome assembly, contig: EJ65DRAFT_scaffold00010.10
GCAGAUGUAGUUCAUUGGUAGAACUCCAGCUUCCCAAGCUGGUGAGGCGGGUUCGAUUCCCGUCAUCUGCU